rnacentral:rRNA from 1 species
UGGGGAAUAUUGCACAAUGGGCGCAAGCCUGAUGCAGCCAUGCCGCGUGUGUGAAGAAGGCCUUCGGGUUGUAAAGCACUUUCAGCGAGGAGGAAGGGUAGUGUGUUAAUAGCACAUUGCAUUGACGUUACUCGCAGAAGAAGCACCGGCUAACUCCGUGCCAGCAGCCGCGGUAAUACGGAGGGUGCAAGCGUUAAUCGGAAUUACUGGGCGUAAAGCGCACGCAGGUGGUUUGUUAAGUCAGAUGUGAAAUCCCCGCGCUUAACGUGGGAACUGCAUUUGAAACUGGCAAGCUAGAGUAUUGUAGAGGGGGGUAGAAUUCCAGGUGUAGCGGUGAAAUGCGUAGAGAUCUGGAGGAAUACCGGUGGCGAAGGCGGCCCCCUGGACAAAGACUGACGCUCAGGUGCGAAAGCGUGGGGAGCAAACA